rnacentral:rRNA from 1 species
AUUGAACGCUGGCGGAAUGCUUUACACAUGCAAGUCGAGCGGCAGCGCGGGGGCAACCCUGGCGGCGAGCGGCGAACGGGUGAGUAAUACAUCGGAACGUACCCAGACGUGGGGGAUAGCUCGGCGAAAGCCGGAUUAAUACCGCAUACGACCUGAGGGUGAAAGCGGGGGAUCGCAAGACCUCGCGCGUUUGGAGCGGCCGAUGGCGGAUUAGCUAGUUGGUGGGGUAAAGGCCCACCAAGGCGACGAUCCGUAGCGGGUCUGAGAGGACGGCCCGCCACACUGGGACUGAGACACGGCCCAGACUCCUACGGGAGGCAGCAGUGGGGAAUUUUGGACAAUGGGGGCAACCCUGAUCCAGCCAUUCCGCGUGAGUGAAGAAGGCC